AAAAGAAUUAUGUAGACUGUAACAACUUUAUGUUUCAGAAAAUUCCAUUACUUGCAAAACAGUUAUUAGGCUUAGUUGCCAAAAAACAUUUAAUAAAAAUUGUCAGUUGAAGAUGCUGAGCAUUCAAUAGAAAACAUAAGAAUUCUUUAUAAUGAUCUGAAGCUCACACUUCAACCUUUAGUUUAUGCUGUACCACCAAACAUUGCUGUUGCUGUGUACAACAACCAUAGAUGGUCAUUUCAAACGCCUUUGAAAGCCAUGGAUUUUUCUUUUAAACUGAUUCAGGUCUUGAAUAAGGAAUAUAAUAUUGCGAGUUUUCCAGCUUGGAUGUUUUUACAGAAAUACAUAUAUUGUUUCAAUUGCCCCGAUUUUGAUGUUUUGUGCCCGAAAGCAAGUGA